CCUACGGGGGGCAGCAGUGGGGAAUCUUCCGCAAUGGGCGAAAGCCUGACGGAGCAACGCCGUGUGAUCGAAUGAAGGCCUUCGGGUUGUAAAGUUCUGUUGACAGGGACGAAUAAGCAAUGCGAAUAGUUUUGUGUAUGACGGUACCUGUUUAGAAAGCUCCGGCUAACUACGUGCCAGCAGCCGCGGUAAUACGUAGGGAGCAUGCGUUGUCCGGAAUUACUGGGCGUAAAGGGCGCGUAGGUGGGCGCUUAAGUCAGGUGUGAAAGCUCCGGGCUCAACCUGGGGACUGCAGUUGAAACUGGGUGUCUAGAGUGCAGAAGAGGAAGGUGGAAUGCAUGGUGUAGCGGUGAAAUGCGUAGAUAUUAGGAGGAACACCGGUGGCGAAGGCGACUUUCUGGACUGUACCUGACGCUGAGGCGCGAAAGCGUGGGUAGCGAACGGGAUUAGAUACCCGAGUAGUC
rnacentral:rRNA from 1 species